AAGCGGAGGAAAAGAAACUAACAAGGAUUCCCCUAGUAACGGCGAGUGAAGCGGGAAGAGCUCAAAUUUGAAAUCUGGUAGCCUUCGGUUGCCCGAGUUGUAAUCUAGAGAAGUGUUUUCCGUGCCGGCCCAUGUACAAGUCCCUUGGAACAGGGCGUCAUAGAGGGUGAGAAUCCCGUCCUUGACAUGGACCCCCGGUGCUUUGUGAUACACUUUCAACGAGUCGAGUUGUUUGGGAAUGCAGCUCAAAAUGGGUGGUGAAUUCCAUCUAAAGCUAAAUAUUGGCGAGAGACCGAUAGCGAACAAGUACCGUGAGGGAAAGAUGAAAAGCACUUUGGAAAGAGAGUUAAACAGUACGUGAAAUUGUUGAAAGGGAAACGAUUGAAGUCAGUCAUGCUCUUAGGAUUCAGCCGUUCUGCGGUGUAUUUCCUUUGAGUGGGGUCAACAUCAGUUUUGAUCGAUGGAUAAAGGCACGAGGAAGGUAGCACUCUCGGGUGAACUUAUAGCCUCGCGUCAUAUACAUUGAUUGGGACUGAGGAACGCAGCAUGCCUUUAUGGCCGGGAUUC
rnacentral:rRNA from 1 species